AGGGAGCUACCAUUUGAUUUUUAUGGGGGGGGGGGCUAGGAUGAAAUUUGAAAAAAAUAGGCAGGACAGGAGUUUCGAGUAAAAAAAAAAGUCAGGAUGAGAAACUUGUUAAAAAAAAGGCAGGAUGACAAUUUGUGUAAAAAAAGUCAGGAUAAACUAGUAAAAAAAAAAGGCAGGACCGAAUAGAGUAAAAAAUAAAAAGGCAGGACAGAGAUUACAACUAAAAAAAAAAGCAGGACAAAAUUUUUCAUCCUAGCCCCCCAUAAAAAUCAAAUGGUAGCUCCCUAAC
rnacentral:lncRNA from 1 species